rfam:Macleaya cordata isolate BLH2017 scaffold8607, whole genome shotgun sequence.
AGCCGCGCGGUAAGCACAGAGCGAACUAUUCUUUCGCCUUUUACUAAAGAAUACCGUGUGCUUGCCGCAUUAAGCGGCAUACGCCUAUUUUUGGAGGGAUUUCUCUUUCUUGGAGAAAA